ACGGAGGAUGCGAGCGUUAUCCGGAUUCAUUGGGUUUAAAGGGUGCGUAGGCGGACUGGUAAGUCAGUGGUGAAAACCUGCAGCUUAACUGUAGAAUUGCCAUUGAUACUGUCGGUCUUGAGUUCGGUUAAGGUAGGCGGAAUGUGUAAUGUAGCGGUGAAAUGCUUAGAUAUUACACAGAACACCGAUUGCGAAGGCAGCUUGCUGGACCGAUACUGACGCUGAUGCACGAAAGCGUGGGGAGCGAACAGGAUUAGAUACCCUGGUAGUCCACGCCGUAAACGAUGAUCACUCGCUGUUGGCGAUACACAGUCAGCGGCUAAGCGAAAGCAUUAAGUGAUCCACCUGGGGAGUACGGCCGCAAGGCUG
rnacentral:rRNA from 1 species